UUUAACCCAUAGUCCAAGCCCAUCUAAACCCUAAUCCCCAUUCUCUCCUCUGUUCCCUCUGCCGCCGCCACAACUGCCCACUCCCGAUUCCGGCGAUUCCAGCGGCUACAGCCGGCGCGGUGCACACCGCGGAGCUCGCCUCGCUUGGGUCCAUCCUCCCCUCCGGCAAGAUUUUCCCUUCCCAGCCUCUACCGCUCGCCCAAAACCCACACCCGUCCUAGGGUUUCGGCCUCUGACAUCUCCUUCAUCGUCGACGCAUCUCCGGCGGCUCUUCUCCGUCGUCUACAGCGCCCCACGCGCGACCUCGCUUCCUGAUGGUCAACCUCGAGCAGGGCAGCCUGGAGGACCCCCGCCCGCAGGAUCUACGGACGCGGCGCACCCUGCAGACGCCUGUCCUGGACGAGGGCGGCCACGGGGGCCUUGUCCUGCUCAACGACGGCCGCGGCGAAUGCCAGUGCUCCUCCUCCUUCUCGACCUCCAAGGAGGGGCGCCGGUACAGCACAAGCACGUCCAGCCCCUGAACCCACCUUCUGCACCCAUCCAGCGGCGUACAUGGCAUGCUCCUCCUUGAUUCAGUCGUCCCUGGAGGAGGUGGAGCAGGAAGUCCAGCACCCCCCUUGGCCUCCUAUCAUCCAGCCAUGGACGAGCUCAAUGAUGGCUGCGUCCUGCCCUCCUAGCGUGGUGAGCUUCUCCCAUCUCCCACCUUUACGCCCAAAUCUGGAUGAUACUUGCAAUCUGAAUAUGAAUCAUGUUUUUAUUCAGUUUAGGGGUGGAUUCAGUUGCUGAGAUGAACAUGUGAGCUUGAUUAGUAACCGAUGGUUUUGUGGAUCUGGUGCUCUUGCACUGUUACACAUAAUUUAAUCAAGAUCUUUUUGGAGUUAAUCUAGAAACUCAAGCUUGUUAGAUAUAACUCAGCCGCGACUCUGUAUCUUGCCAGGAUGGACUUGUUUUGCAGAUGUUUGGCUGCCACUAGGAUUUUGAGGUCAAAUCUGUACCAGAACCAAAAUGAGCAUGACAGUGUACCAGCACUCAGAACUAAGAAAUUGUCAGUCGUUGUGUAUUGCAUUUAUCUUUUCGUUUGGAUGCCAAAAAUUAUCUUCUUUGUGGCUUGAUUAACUUCCCUUUCUUCUGUUCAAGCCAUUUUGAAUGAGAUUACUACCAAUGACAAAUAGUAUGGAAGGCGAAACAACAAUUUACUAUAAUUACAUUGCCUUCACUUCAUCUAUAAUGUCACCAUCAACUGUUUCUAUGUUACCUUGCAGAUUCAUUCAACAGAAGACACUUGUAAUAUUGUGCAAAUAAUUAGCUAGCAUUGUGAAAAAUCCUAUUUCUCAAAAAAAGUUAAGAGUGUGAUAUUUAGUUGAGAUAUGACAUAUCAAUGCUAAUAUAUUAGGACGUGCUAAUUUUGUAGUUCCUAGCUAAAUAUGUAAGGGCAUGUAAUGUUCGUAACAUAUUGAAGUGUGAUACUACACAAUAUUUGUUUUAUCUUUGGUUGGACUAUUUUUAUGUGUGUAAUAGUACAAAAAAAUUGAGUGACUUCUACUUGAUCCAAUCCUUUAUUAGAAGUAGUAGUAUCUUACAAAUGUCUUUUUAGCUAGAUUAGUCGUAAGCCACAUAUGCCAGAUCUUUUUCAUGUGGAAUAUCAUAUCAGAUAGGACACAUAAUCCAUCAAGACAUAAUCAUCAUGGAAUUGGUCCAUUCCUUUUUUUCCUUUUGAGAAACAAUGCCUAGAAAUUUUCAUUAAUGUGCAAUAUUCAGCUGGGCUGCAUUUCUUAUCGAGUUUACUGUAGUGAUAGUGUAAAUUAAGCACAACAGAGUUUACUACCAACUCUAUUGAUCUAUGUUUGCUCAUCAUUCCUUUUUGUUGCCACCGGUUGUCCCUUUUGAGACUUUUGUUAAUUUGUUGCACUACUUUUGCAUCCUGGGAGUGAAAGAACGUAUAACUUGAUAAUGUGUAGCAAGCUACUUGUAGUUUAACCCACUAGUUGUAAUAUUUUAUAACUUGACAUAUUUUUCAUCAUGUGGCAGAUAUUAGUAUGGGAGCAGUUUCGAGAACAAAGACAUGCGUUUUGACAACAUUUUGGCAUGGACGGGUUGAUUUGCUGCUAUAAGUGUUGGAUGACCCCUAAUUGGUGUGUGGCAGCCUGACAAGAGUGGCGUGGCCUUGGUUGAUGGGGGUGGUGCUGGCUGCAGAGUAGCAUAGUGUUCUCCAAUACAUGCUUGUAAAUUAAUGUUUUUUGGGUCUUUUAUUUGCGCUCCUGUAUAAUGUGUACUUUUGGAUAUGUUGUAAUUUUUUUCUGAUGACAUGAGCAUAUACUUUUUGUCAAAUUCUUAUUGGCUUAAAUUUUCAUGGAAAAUUUGAGAUCUCCUGGACUGAAAUUAGUGGGCGUUGAAAUUAAUGGGCUUAAAUAAUAAUUGGGUUGAUUUCUA